rnacentral:rRNA from 1 species
UAAGGUGACUAUAGCGGCGGGGAUCCACCUCUUCCCAUUCCGAACAGAGAAGUUAAGCCCGUCAUCGCCGAUGGUACUGCAAUCGCGGGAGAGCAGGUAGUCGCCGACU